CAACCCUCAAGCAACGCUUGGUAUUGGGCCCCGCUGCUCACCUAGCGGGCCUUAAAAUCAGUGGCGGUGCCGUCGGGCCCUGAGCGCAGUAAAUAUCCUCGCUACAGGGACUCGGUGGACGCUGGCCAUCAACCCAGACUCCUAA
rnacentral:misc_RNA from 1 species